rnacentral:rRNA from 1 species
GAUGAACGCUGGCGGCGUGCCUAAUACAUGCAAGUCGAGCGAAUGGAUUAAGAGCUUGCUCUUAUGAAGUUAGCGGCGGACGGGUGAGUAACACGUGGGUAACCUGCCCAUAAGACUGGGAUAACUCCGGGAAACCGGGGCUAAUACCGGAUAACAUUUUGAACCGCAUGGUUAGAAAUUGAAAGGCGGCUUCGGCUGUCACUUAUGGAUGGACCCGCGUCGCAUUAGCUAGUUGGUGAGGUAACGGCUCACCAAGGCAACGAUGCGUAGCCGACCUGAGAGGGUGGUCGGCCACACUGGGACUGAGACACGGCCCAGACUCCUACGGGAGGCAGCAGUAGGGAAUCUUCCGCAAUGGACGAAAGUCUGACGGAGCAACGCCGCGUGAGUGAUGAAGGCUUUCGGGUCGUAAAACUCUGUUGUUAGGGAAGAACAAGUGCUAGUUGAAUAAGCUGGCACCUUGACGGUACCUAACCAGAAAGCCACGGCUAACUACGUGCCAGCAGCCGCCGUAA